GUGUGUGUGUGUGUGUGUGUGUGUGUGCGCGCGCACGCACACGCGUAUGCACGCAC
rnacentral:miRNA from 1 species